UAUUCCCCACUUCUGAUUUCUAGUAGUGUGUGAGGCCCAUUAUUUAUUAUUACUUGGAGUGACCUCACGCCACGAUGACGAGGCUAAGUGUCCGGCCCUGAGCGGGAAGCUGCCCCGUGGCCUGGCCAGGGGCUUGAGGACCGUCCACCACCCGUUCGCGGGGCGUGGCGGGCCGAGCACAGGCCGAGUGGU